rnacentral:rRNA from 1 species
UACGUAGGGUGCAAGCGUUAUCCGGAAUUACUGGGCGUAAAGCGUGCGCAGGCGGUGAUGUAAGACAGGUGUGAAAUCCCCGGGCUUAACCUGGGAACUGCAUUUGUGACUGCAUCGCUGGAGUGCGGCAGAGGGGGAUGGAAUUCCGCGUGUAGCAGUGAAAUGCGUAGAUAUGCGGAGGAACACCGAUGGCGAAGGCAAUCCCCCUGGGCCUGCACUGACGCUCAUGCACGAAAGCGUGGGGAGCAAACAGG